AAUGAACGUUGGCGGCGUGGAUUAGGCAUGCAAGUCGAGCGAGAACCCAGCAAUGGGGGACAGCGGCGCAAGGGACAGUAAUGUGUAGAUCAUCUGCCCUCAGGUCCGGGAUAGCUGCGGGAAACUGCAGGUAAUACCGGAUAACAUCUCCGGAUCAAAGGUGUGAUUCCGCCUGAGGAUGAGUCUACAUCCUAUUAGCUAGUUGGCAGGGUAACGGCCUACCAAGGCGAUGAUGGGUAGCGGGUGUGAGAGCACGACCCGCGUCAUUGGGACUGAGACACUGCCCAGACACCUACGGGUGGCUGCAGUCGAGAAUCUUCGGCAAUGGGCGCAAGCCUGACCGAGCGACGCCGCGUGCGGGAUGAAGGCCUUCGGGUUGUAAACCGCUGUCAGAGGGGAUGAAAUGCAGGUGGGUUCUCCCAUCUGUUUGACAUAGCCUCAGAGGAAGGACGGGCUAAGUUCGUGCCAGCCGCCGCCGUAACAC
rnacentral:rRNA from 1 species